rnacentral:rRNA from 1 species
AUACGGAGGGGGCUAGCGUUGUUCGGAUUUACUGGGCGUAAAGCGCGCGUAGGCGGUAUAUCAAGUUAGGCGUGAAAGCCCCGGGCUCAACCCGGGAACUGCGCUUAUUACUGAUAAACUAGAGUCCGGGAGAGGGUGGCGGAAUUCCCAGUGUAGAGGUGAAAUUCGUAGAUAUUGGGAAGAACACCAGUGGCGAAGGCGGCCACCUGGCCCGGUACUGACGCUGAGGUACGAAAGCGUGGGUAGCAAACAGGAUUAGAAACCCCAGUAGUCC